UACAGAGGGUGCAAGCGUUGUUCGGAAUUAUUGGGCGUAAAGCGCGUGUAGGCGGCUUUGCAAGUCGGGUGUGAAAGCCCUCAGCUCAACUGAGGAAGUGCGCCCGAAACUGCAGAGCUUGAGUGCCGGAGAGGGUGGCGGAAUUCCCCAAGUAGAGGUGAAAUUCGUAGAUAUGGGGAGGAACACCGGUGGCGAAGGCAGCACUCUGGGACGUGACUGACGCUGAGACGCGAAAGCGUGGGGAGCGAACAGG
rnacentral:rRNA from 1 species